rnacentral:lncRNA from 1 species
CGCCGGGCGCCGUGGCUCACGCCUGUAAUCCAACACUUUGGGAGGCUGAGGCGGGCGGAUCACUUGAGGUCAAGAGUUCAAGACCAGCCUGGCCAACAUGGUGAAACCCCAUCUCUACUAAAAAUACAAAAAUUAGCCAGAUUCUACUCUAAAAGUCACCAGGAAAAAUUCAGCUCCACUGGUCCGGGCUCUAAGUCUACUAGCAAAAUCUUCCAGAGAAGUGGAAAAGCCAUCAGCCAAUGUGUUAGACUAUCAUUUCCAUGACCUUACACCUAUCAAAAAGGCACUAUUACCAGGCUUAUAGAAUUCUAAAAAAGUUGGAAACCAUUUUCCAUUAUAAAAGAAAUUCUUCCAAAUCACACAAAACACUCUGACACUUCUCCAGUUCCCCCUUU